AUUAGAUGAGCCUAUAUUAGAUUAGCUAGUUGGUGGGGUAAUAGCCUACCAAGGUAAUGAUCUAUAGCUGAUCUGAGAGGAUGAUCAGCCACACUGGAACUGAGAUACGGUCCAGACUCCUACGGGAGGCAGCAGUGGGGAAUAUUGGACAAUGGGCGAAAGCCUGAUCCAGCCAUGCCGCAUGAGUGAAGAAGGCCUUUGGGUUGUAAAGCUCUUCUAGUGAGGAAGAUAAUGACGGUACUCACAGAAGAAGUCCUGGCUAACUCCGUGCCAGCAGCCGCGGUAAUACGGAGAGGGCUAGCGUUAUUCGGAAUUAUUGGGCGUAAAGGGCGCGUAGGCUGGUUAAUAAGUUAAAAGUGAAAUCCCGAGGCUUAACCUUGGAAUUGCUUUUAAAACUAUUAAUCUAGAGAUUGAAAGAGGAUAGAGGAAUUCCUGAUGUAGAGGUAAAAUUCGUAAAUAUUAGGAGGAACACCAGUGGCGAAGGCGUCUAUCUGGUUCAAAUCUGACGCUGAAGCGCGAAGGCGUGGGGAGCAAACAGGAUUAGAUACCCUGGUAGUCCACGCUGUAAACGAUGAAUGUUAAAUAUGGGGAG
rnacentral:rRNA from 1 species